rnacentral:rRNA from 1 species
AGAGGAGCCAAGCGUUGUCCGGAUUGACUGGGCGUAAAGCGCACGCAGGCGGACGCGCGCGUGGGGUGUGAAAUCUGGCCGCUUAACGGCCAGGCGCCAUCCCAUACGGCGCGUCUGGAGUGAUGCAGAGGUCGGUGGAAUUGCCGGUGUAGUGGUGAAAUGCGUAGAGAUCGGCAGGAACACCCAGGGGGAAACCAGCCGACUGGGCAUCUACUGACGCUGAGGUGCGAGAGCGUGGGGAGCGAACCGGAUUAGAUACCCGGGUAGUCCACGCCGUAAACGAUGGCCACUCGGCCUUUGGCGGCGGAAUCUCCGCCGCUGGGGGCCUUAGCUAACGCGGGAAGUGGCCCGCCUGGGAACUACGAGCGCAAGCUUA